CAAUAGCGCUAUGAUUUUAAAGUUUGAUUUUUUGAACAGGUUUUAAAAGGCUUUGCCAGGUUUAAAAAAGGCUUUGGAUUUCCGGGAUUGAGUUUGGGAAAUUUCCGGGAAUGCGUUGAACCCGGACCCCGGGUUUCCGGCCCGGGUUUGGCUGGGCAUGUGCCACUUGGGGAACCGGUUUUUUGGUAAUUCUUGUUGUCGGGGACGCGCUCCUGACCUUAACUGGGAGGGACGCGGAGUCGGCGCUGUUACUUUGAAAAAAUUAGAGUGUUCAAAGCAGGCAACCGCUCUGAAUACAUUAGCAUGGAAUAACGCUAUAGGACUCUGGUCCUAUUGUGUUGGUCUUCGGGACCGGAGUAAUGAUUAAGAGGGACAGUUGGGGGCAUUCGUAUUUCAUUGUCAGAGGUGAAAUUCUUGGAUUUAUGAAAGACGAACUUCUGCGAAAGCAUUUGCCAAGGAUGUUUUCAUUAAUCAAGAACGAAAGUUGGGGGCUCGAAGAUGAUCAGAUACCA
rnacentral:rRNA from 1 species